rnacentral:rRNA from 1 species
UACAGGGGGGGCAAGCGUUGUUCGGAAUUACUGGGCGUAAAGGGUGCGUAGGCGGCGCGGUAAGUCGGGUGUGAAAUCUCGGAGCUUAACUCCGAAACUGCAUUCGAUACUGCCGUGCUUGAGGACUGGAGAGGAGACUGGAAUUUACGGUGUAGCGGUGAAAUGCGUAGAUAUCGUAAGGAAGACCAGUGGCGAAGGCGGGUCUCUGGACAGUUCCUGACGCUGAGGCACGAAGGUCAGGGGAGCAAACGGG